UCGACCUGAGCUCAGGCAAGAACACCCGCUGAGUUUAAGCAUAUCAAUAAGCGGAGGA
rnacentral:rRNA from 1 species